AGAGUGGGCUGGAGUUGGGCAUCUCCUUCCCCCCAGGUGAGCUAGGCUCUGAUAAAUCCCCAGCAGGUUAGGCUCUGGUUAACUAGUUUCCCUGAGGCCAGGUGUUCUUAAGAAGGACAUAGUGCUCUGAUGUAUGUCACAAAGGUUCCUUUCCCCUUCCCCUGCCAGAAGCAGGAGGGGGUUUUUCUCCAACAUAUUGUGGCAAUCUAGUUGAGCUCCUGGAAGUAAAUCUCACAAAACUGUGGUGCCUUGCCGUGACUGGGUCGCCCUCGGGUUUAUAGCUCUCAGUUUUGUCCACACUGAGCCUCCAUCAACUCAUCAAUUACAGCUCUGGCUUUCCUGCCCCGGCCCUGCUUCCUGUGGUGGUUUUAGCUGUGAAUCUCUGCUCUGGAUGAACACGUCUUGUCUUUUCGACUCUGUUCUCAUUGCAACAAACACAGGAAAGGAGAAGAAAGGGACACAGCCCCCGGGCUCACUUGUGAGACCUUUUUUAGAAGAGCAUGUCGGUGAACCGGCUAACAGCGUGAACUUCGCCAUCAGACAAAUCUCAGAUCAGAAAACCAGGUGACCAUUUGUUGGAGGAAACUGUUUCUGGUGCCUGACAUAUUGUUAUUGAAGACUACAUGAUCCUUGCAGUUAUGUGGGAAGGUCUGACAAUCCCGAGAGCCUGAUGAUAAUCUUUAUAUUUCAUACCUUUUUCAAAUUCUGGUCUAUGUCAGUUUUUGUGAUUACAACAAUUUAAAGCAGAAUCACCAUAUGUUGAUAGUAAAACUGCUUCUCUAGUGGAUAAUUUUUACUUCUAAGAUCUGGGACUUGGGCAAAAAGUCUGUUUUCUGCAAAGUAAAGUACUUAAUUUAAGAAAUAUCAUAUUAUUCAGCUUUCAUUCUUCGCAUGGGAAAUUCAUCUAUUCCCCUGAUAACUUCAAGUUGAUUUUCUGAGUAUAUAAACUAGAUGGUGUACUUGGCUAGGGAAGGGGAGCAGAAUUUCAAGAAGUAGUUAAUAUAGGUGUGUAUAGGGGUUCUUUUGUCUCUAAGGUUCUGGAGUUUCUUGCGUCUUUGUUUCUUAUUUUCCUUCUUGAUAAGACCUGCUGUGUGGUUGUUAUGCUUUACUUCUGUGGCACGUUAGGCUCAUAUCUUUGGAGAAUAGUUUACAAUGAAUUUUCACUAUGAAACAUAAAUGAUGGUACAAAACCAAUGCUUUUUCUAAAUUUUUGGCUAAAUUUUCCAGAAAAAGUAUUAUUUUAGUUUUGCCAAAGUGAAGCUCCCAUGUUCUGAUGGCUUCCUGCAUUUUUCCCUGCUGAUUCACAUUUUACCACUAGGAAGGGCUGUGUAUGAACCUGAAAACAUAUAGGUUUCUCUAUGCAAUUCCUUUGUAUAUCACAAAAAGUUUUAAGUAAAUGUAUUUGUUGAGGAUUCCCAUCAUUACCUUUUCUCUGUUCAGAAAACUGCCCAUUUGUUCCAAUUUCUUGUCAUUUUUCAGAUGUAAACAAAUGGUUACCCAAGAAUAACAUUUUUCCCAAAUUAGAAGCAAUGGAUCUUAGGACUCUAGAAAUCAUUUCUUUUAGUAUCUGUCCAAUGGUUGAAUUCAGCUGAAUAUAAGGAUAUCUCAAGGCCUUGGCUCUGAGGCAAACUAUUUACCUUUAGACAGUAUGGUCUGCUAGAGGCGAUGACUGAAGGAGACACUGCCAGAGUUCAUCACAGGUUUUCUUUAAAUAGUUAAAUUCUCUCAUAUUAGGGGGAAAAAACCCUUAGAAAUUAAAUUUGCAUACACUUGUCUGAAUCUAAAAUAAUAUCUAUUGUCAUGGGGUUUAUGAAAAAAUCUCAUUUCUUUGCAGGAUACAAUAUAUUUCUAUGCAGGAAUCUCGUCAUGUCCAAAUUACUCUUUAGAACAAUCUACCUCUUCUCCCUAUUUGGUGAGAUAAAACAGCAUGACGAGGUAUAAACAGCGAAAGGUCUAGAAUAAAGACUAACUUUAUAUCCUACUUUUGCUACUUGCCAAUUCUGGAAAAGUAACCACUCUGAGCCUCAGUUUAUCUUCAAG
rnacentral:lncRNA from 1 species